rnacentral:lncRNA from 1 species
AGCUAUUUAUUACACACAUAUAUAUAGUCAGGCCUAUAACUAUAUAAAACCUGAAUCAAGUAAUAAUAAGUAAAAUAAAAUGUGCAUGCACCUAAUAACUAUAUAACUCACUCGAAGAUGUAGGAGAAGAGUAUUUUUUGUUUUUCUUUUUGGUUCACGAAGAACCUCAUAAGAUUGGUGCAGACUUCUGUCUCAUGAGAUGCUAUCCACACUGCAUGUGGAGCCUUGAAAAGAAUAUAAGGGUCAACGAACCCAAAACUAUUGUCAUUUUUGCUUCUGAGCUCUCUCAUUUGGUGCCUACAUAUAUAUAUACAAAUCUUAAGUGUGCAAGGAUUAUAUAAAUAUAAUUAUAGAAGGUAGGAGUUUAUUAAAAAUGAAAGAAAUACUUACAUACAAAAGCAGAUGAUGAGAGAUUUGUCGAGAGCGUCGAGGUGACAUAAUUGGUGCUAUUCUUCUAACUGGACAUAUAUGAGGUCAUCCCCAUGGAAGUAGUGAUGUUGUCGAAUACGAACAGAAAUCCAAUUAUCUCCUCUUUUAGACGCCUCCAUGCACCACUUGUUUAUUGCAAAC